UACGAAGGGGGCCAGCGUUGCUCGGAAUCACUGGGCGUAAAGGGCGCGUAGGCGGCCGAUUAAGUCGGGGGUGAAAGCCUGUGGCUCAACCACAGAAUUGCCUUCGAUACUGGUUGGCUUGAGACCGGAAGAGGACAGCGGAACUGCGAGUGUAGAGGUGAAAUUCGUAGAUAUUCGCAAGAACACCAGUGGCGAAGGCGGCUGUCUGGUCCGGUUCUGACGCUGAGGCGCGAAAGCGUGGGGAGCAAACAGG
rnacentral:rRNA from 1 species